rnacentral:rRNA from 1 species
AUUGAACGCUGGCGGCAGGCCUAACACAUGCAAGUCGAGCGGAUGAAGGGAGCUUGCUCCUGGAUUCAGCGGCGGACGGGUGAGUAAUGCCUAGGAAUCUGCCUGGUAGUGGGGGAUAACGUCCGGAAACGGGCGCUAAUACCGCAUACGUCCUGAGGGAGAAAGUGGGGGAUCUUCGGACCUCACGCUAUCAGAUGAUCCUAGGUCGGAUUAGCUAGUUGGUGGGGUAAAGGCCUACCAAGGCGACGAUCCGUAACUGGUCUGAGAGGAUGAUCAGUCACACUGGAACUGAGACACGGUCCAGACUCCUACGGGAGGCAGCAGUGGGGAAUAUUGGACAAUGGGCGAAAGCAUGAUCCAGCCAUGCCGCGUGUGUGAAGAAGGUCUUAGGAUUGUAAAGCACUUUAAGUUGGGAGGAAGGGAAGUAAGUUAAUACAUUGCUGUAUUGACGUUACCAACAGAAUAAGCACCGGCUAACUUCGUG